UGGGGAAUCUUCCGCAAUGGGCGCAAGCCUGACGGAGCAACGCCGCGUGAGUGAAGAAGGUCUUCGGAUCGUAAAGCUCUGUUGAUGGGGACGAACGUGCCUAAUGCGAAUAGUAUUAGGUAAUGACGGUACCCAUCGAGGAAGCCACGGCUAACUACGUGCCAGCAGCCGCGGUAAUACGUAGGUGGCGAGCGUUGUCCGGAAUCAUUGGGCGUAAAGGGAGCGCAGGCGGGCAUGUAAGUCUUUCUUAAAAGUGCGGGGCUCAACCCCGUGAUGGGAAAGAUACUAUGUGUCUUGAGUACAGGAGAGGAAAGCGGAAUUCCCAGUGUAGCGGUGAAAUGCGUAGAUAUUGGGAGGAACACCAGUGGCGAAGGCGGCUUUCUGGACUGCAACUGACGCUGAGGCUCGAAAGCCAGGGGAGCGAACGGG
rnacentral:rRNA from 1 species